UGGUAGUGUAUUGGACUACCAUGGCAUUCACGGGCUAUCGGGGGAUUAGGGUUCGAUUCCGGAGAGGGAGCCUGAUAAACGGCUACCACUUCUACGGAAGGCAGCAGGCGCGAAAAUUAUCCAAUCCUGAUUCAGGGAGGUAGUGAAAGAAAUAAUGAACUAGGAUUUAUCCUGGGAUCACAAUGGGCUUGAUUUGCAAACACUUAGCGAGGAACAAUUGGAGGGCAAGUCUGGUGCCAGCAGCCGCGGUAAUUCCAGCUCCAAUAGAGUAUAUCAACGUUCCUGCAGUUAUUCGAUGCUCGUAGUUGGAUUUCUGAGGUUGAGACGGGGGGGUGGCUAUGGCCAUCGCCCGACUCUUUCCUCAUCCACCUGUUUGCGAAGUCCGGGAUUGAUUUCUCGGCUUCGGGCGCAGUAUCUUACCAUUUCAAUAUUCGUAGUCUUCAUCGAUUAUGUUGUUUCUUUGAGCAAAUUAUAGUGUUUCAGGCAGGCGUGCGCCGGAAUACAUUAGCAUGGUAUAAACGAAUUGGACCGUGUGCCCGUAACUGGGCUUCUCCUUAUUGUUGGUUUGAAGGACACGGAGAUGGUUAAUAGGGACAGCGUUUAUUUCACAAGGAGGCAUUAGUAUUUAAUUUCCAGAGGUGAAAUUCUUUGAAAUAUUAAAGACUAACUUAUGCGAAAGCAUCGUUUGCCAAUGAUGUUUUCAUUAUCAUUGAACGAAAGUUAGGGGAUCAAAGACGAUCAGA
rnacentral:rRNA from 1 species